UUCAUCUUGGAGUCAGAUUUCAUUUUGGAGUCAGAUUUCAUCUUGGAGUCUGAAUUCAUCUUGGAAUUAGAUUUCAUUUUGGAGUCUGAAUUCACAUUGGAGUCUUUUACUAGAGUCUUCGUACUUUACAUUUUUUUUUACAUUGGAGCUGAAUUAUUUAUAUGGGAGUUUUUAUGUAGAAGAAUUCAUCUUGGAGUCAGAUUUCAUCUUGGAGUCAGAUUUCACAUUGGAGUCUUUUACUAGAGUCUAUAUACUUCAGAAGUUUUUUACAAUGGAGCUGUUACAAUAGUGCAUUUAAUCAUUUAUCUUAUCAGCAAGGUGGAGAGAUUUAUAAAAAAAAUAUUGACAGGUCAGACUGGAUUGCAGCCAUUUAUUUAUUUUUAUGAAAAUAAACAAAAAACUUGACAAUUGUGUAAACAUUCCACAUUUGUCCAUUUCCUUUGGAAAAAAGAUUCCUAUUGAAAUAUUUCAUUAGUGGCAUUUUACAUUAAACUUUUCAUUCAGAUUAAGUCAUGAUUUCAUCUUGAGGUUCGAUUUUGCAUGUAAUUUUUUUCAUCAAAUUUCAUAUUGGAGCUACUUCAUAGAACAAUUCUUGUUGAACAAACCAAAGACUAAGUGCAGCCAUAUAAUGAAAACAAACUGUUGGCAGGUUCAUGUAUUGUUAGAAUUUUUCAACAAAUUUCUUAUGUCGUCUCUGACUGAGAAAUCCCAUUGAUUAUUCACGAGUGACCUUUUUACAUUGGAGAGUUCGUGUAGAAGAAUUCAUGUUGGAGUCAGAUUUCAUGUUGGAUUCAGAUUGUUCACAAGAGUUUUCAUCUUUCAUUAGAUUUCGAUUGGUUUGGAGUUGUUACAGUGGCGUUUUGAAACAAAAUCUGAAGUACAUGUACUUGGAAGAGCAAAACGAAUAAAAAAGUCAAACAUAGAUCAUUUUCUGCUUUUCAAUUGCAAUCUUCACUUGGAACAAUUAAAGAUUCAUUCGAACAUCCGUAAGUGACAUUUCAUGUAGAAGAAUUCAUCUUGGAGUCAGAUUUUACAUUGGAGGUCCUAUUACUUCAUAAGUUUUUAUACUGGAGUUAUUUAACUGUGGUGCAUUAAAACAUUUAUCUAAUCAAAAUUGUGGAAAGACUUACCGAAAAUCAAACUGCCAAAGUGGAGCAGAACCGUUUCUUUAAAAAAGAUAGGAAACAGGGUAUUUCUGUUAACAUUUUACAUUGGAAGAAAGAAUCACAUCAAGAUAUUUAUUAGUGAUAUUUCAUGUAGGAGAUGUUGUGUUAAAGAAUUCAAAUUGGAGUCAGAAUUCAUCUUCAUGAGUCAGAUUUUACAUUGAAAUCUUUAAAGGGAUAGUCUCUAAGAAGCUUGAGCCGUCCUUUACCUUGAUCUAUAAGCCAUCUUCACAAAGUUCUCUACUUAGCCCAGAUGAACUCAUCCCUUAUAGUAUGAUGCAUUGGAAGAAUUGCUUCAAAGACCCAAGGGUGAACUUGUGGUCAUUUAUGCCCUCUUUACAUUGUACUGCCCUGAUCUGAAUCACACUUGGAACAAGGGAGUCUAUACAGCUUGCACUGCCCCUCCUCUCUUCAGACGCCAGGUCCCAUUCUAGUGGCCAGUUGCAAUGCCGUCUGGUGGAGAAAAAUGACUUGGUUCCACAUCACCACUGUUUUUCCUAAUUUGAGAAGCCUGUUGGAGUAUUAGUUUGCCAGCCUUGUAAAGUUGCAAUGAUUUAUUAGCCAGAAACAAUUGUAUUGUUUCAUGCCCCAUUAAAUAUGAAGAAAUUUAUAAAAUGAUAUUAUUUAAAAUAUAAGAAUUCUUAAGAUUCUGAAUUUUGUCCUAAAUGCAUAACUGGAAUGCCUUUAAGG